CUCUACGGGCGGGGUGCUAUACAUGCAGUCGAACGAACUUUCUUACACCGAAUGCUUGCAUUCAUCGUAAGAAGUUGAGUGGCGGACGGGUGAGUAACACGUGGGUAACCUGCCUAAAAGAAGGGGAUAACACUUGGAAACAGGUGCUAAUACCGUAUAUCUCUAAGGAUCGCAUGAUCCUUAGAUGAAAGAUGGUUCUGCUAUCGCUUUUAGAUGGACCCGCGGCGUAUUAACUAGUUGGUGGGGUAACGGCCUACCAAGGUGAUGAUACGUAGCCGAACUGAGAGGUUGAUCGGCCACAUUGGGACUGAGACACGGCCCAAACUCCUACGGGAGGCAGCAGUAGGGAAUCUUCCACAAUGGACGCAAGUCUGAUGGAGCAACGCCGCGUGAGUGAAGAAGGUCUUCGGAUCGUAAAACUCUGUUGUUAGAGAAGAACACGAGUGAGAGUAACUGUUCAUUCGAUGACGGUAUCUAACCAGCAAGUCACGGCUAACUACGUGCCAGCAGCCGCGGUAAUACGUAGGUGGCAAGCGUUGUCCGGAUUUAUUGGGCGUAAAGGGAACGCAGGCGGUCUUUUAAGUCUGAUGUGAAAGCCUUCGGCUUAACCGGAGUAGUGCAUUGGAAACUGGAAGACUUGAGUGCAGAAGAGGAGAGUGGAACUCCAUGUGUAGCGGUGAAAUGCGUAGAUAUAUGGAAGAACACCAGUGGCGAAAGCGGCUCUCUGGUCUGUAACUGACGCUGAGUUCGAAAGCGUGGGGUAGCAAACAGGAUUAGAUACCCUGGUAGUCCACGCCGUAACGAUGAAUGCUAGUGUUGGAGGGUUUCCGCCCUUCAGUGCCGCAGCUAACGCAAUAAGCAUUCCGCCUGGGGAGUACGACCGCAAGUUGAAACUCAAGGAAUUGACGGGGCCCGCACAAGCGGUGGAGCAUGUGGUUUAAUUCGAAGCAACGCGAAGAACCUUACCAGUCUGAACAUCCUUGACCACCUAAGAAGAAUUAGCUUUCCCUUCAGGACAAUUGACAAGGUGGGUGCCAUGGCUGUUCGUUCAGCUCUCUGUUCCUUGAGAAGAAUGGUAAAUACCCGGCAACAGAAGCCACACCCUUGUUGUGUCCGACUUGUCGACGCACACAUUAUAUAUAUUGUGGAGAAACCUG
rnacentral:rRNA from 2 species